GGAACAAAAGGCACCUUUCCAAUUAGAGUUAAUAGUGGGAUAACUUCAGACACACAAAGGGAGAAAAAGGCACUUAUGAGUCAUGGUGAGUUCAAAAGGAAAGUGUUGAGGUGGAAUCACAAAGCAUCAUGGGAAGUGCUAUUCAAGCUACCACGUCAAAAAGCCUGAUUAACAGCAGGUCCAAGUCGGCCUGAUCACCAGGGAGUCUUACUGAUAAAAUUAUUUCCCCUCCAGAGAGAAUCUCCCUGAGCUGAAUAAAUGUUUCACUUCUGAAUAGGAUUCA
rnacentral:lncRNA from 1 species